UGGUGUAGUGGUUAGCACUCAGGACUCUGAAUCCUGCGACGGGAGUUCAAGUCUCCC
rnacentral:tRNA from 1 species